rfam:Monodelphis domestica chromosome 2, whole genome shotgun sequence.
GAAUUGGAUUUUUUAAAAUCCACAAACACUGUAGCUAGUGGUCUAU